UACAGAGGUCCCGAGCGUUUGUUCGGAUUCACUGGGCGUAAAGGGUGCGUAGGUGGCGAGGAAAGUCGGAUGUGAAAGCUCGGAGCUCAACUCCGAAAUGGCAUUGGAAACUACCUUGCUCGAGGGUUUGGAGGGGGGACUGGAAUUCUCGGUGUAGCAGUGAAAUGCGUAGAUAUCGAGAGGAACACCAGUGGCGAAGGCAGCUCGCUGGGACGGUACUGACGCUGAGGCGCGAAAGCGUGGGGAGCAAACAGG
rnacentral:rRNA from 1 species